GGUUGGUCCGAAGGUAGUGAAUUCUCUCAACUGAUUGUUACAGAUCAAACUCCUUGUUCUUUCCCUCCUUCCCACUACUGCCCUUGACUAGUCUAAA
ensembl:Y_RNA Y_RNA Y RNA